UACGAAGGGGGCGAGCGUUGUUCGGAUUUACUGGGCGUAAAGCGUGCGCAGGCGGCUUUGCAAGACAGAUGUGAAAUCCCCGGGCUCAACCUGGGAACUGCAUUUGUGACUGCAAGGCUAGAGUACGGCAGAGGGGGAUGGAAUUCCGCGUGUAGCAGUGAAAUGCGUAGAUAUGCGGAGGAACACCAAUGGCGAAGGCAAUCCCCUGGGCCUGUACUGACGCUCAUGCACGAAAGCGUGGGGAGCAAACAGG
rnacentral:rRNA from 1 species